UAGAAAAAUUCAGAAACACGCGGUGUACUUCCCUCUAUUUUCUUGCCCAAAUAUUUUGAACAAAAUAUUUCCCAAAUUUUCAGUCUAUACUACCCAUUUCUCCAUUUUCCCCAAUUCUCCAUAUUCCCUAAUUCUCCAUUUCCUCACAUUCUCAUAUUUACCCCAAUUCACCACAAUUACUUUCAAAUUAUGAGAGGAAAAUUACUCAAAAAUUCCGAGGGCUUUGUUUCCGAGGGUGAAACACCACGCACGGUGGCGUUAGGGUUAGGGUUCCACCACAUAACCACUCCAAAACCACCUCUGUUGACGAAUUAGGGUUUCAACGAAGACAAUUGGGCGCAAACGAGGAUUAGGGUUCCGAUUUUUUUUUUCAUUUGGAUAUGAUGUUAGAGUUAGGAAUUUUGGACAAAGUUGAAUUUGAUUUUGGUUGGUAUGGAUUGUGUGAUGAUUGUUGGUGAUUUGUGUGAAAUUUUUAGGGAUUGGAGAAAUGGCGUCAAACGAAGGAUUCUUAACGGAAGAGUGGAGGGAGAGGAUGAAGAUAGCUUCAGAGAAUUCAGUACCGUCUCCUUCGAAUCGCCUAAGGGUUUAUCGUCUUCGCCGAAAUCGACUACAUUCCUCUCUGAUCACCGUGGGAAAGGUGGAGGUGGUGGUGGUAAGGCGCCUUGUGUGAAACCUCGUCAUUCGAGGAAGGUUGUCAAAGUCAAGAAGGAGUCCAGACCCAAGAGUGAGUCGGUGAGAGAAUGGACAAGGAGAAUGGGGUUGAAGAGGCGACAACCUCCAAUUUUGGUGUUAGGUGAGCAAAAUCAACACAAUGAGAACCAAAAGAAUAAUGCUAGAGUUCCAUUCUAUAAGCUUUUCUCAUUUGCGGAUUCUAUUGACAAGGCGUUGAUGAUCAUUGGCUCAAUUGGUGUUGUCGCAAAUGGUGUAUGUAUGCCCUUGAUGGCCAUCAUCAUUGGUGAAUUUGUUGAUUCAUUUGGUGAGAAUCAAAAUACCAAAAAAAUCAUUCAUGUCAUCUCCGAGGUGUCUCUAAAAUUUGUUUACUUGGCCAUAGGAGUUGCAAUUGCUGCAUUUCUUCAGGUGGCUUGCUGGAUGGUAACAGGAGAAAGACAGACAACAAGAUUAAGGAAGUUGUACGUGAAAGCAAUACUUAGACAAGAUAUUGCUUUCUUUGAUAAGGAAACCAACACAGGAGAGGUCAUUGGGAGAAUCCGAGAAUGUCAGGGGAUACAGUUCUCAUACAAGAUGCUAUAGGGGAAAAGGUAACUCAUUAUCGACACUUUUGAUAGUUCUUAGUCUUGAUCAUCUUAUGUGUGUGUGUGUGUGUUUUUUUUUUUUUUUUUUUUUUUUGUUUAUAUAUAUAAGUACUCUUCCAGGUUGGAAAAAUUCUACAAAUUAUAUCGACUUUUAUUGGAGGCUUUAUCAUUGCGUUCAUCAAAGUGUGGAUUCUUACUCUUGUCAUGCUAUCCUCCAUACCUCUUUUGGCAACCAUCAUUACUUAGAUCGAUUUCGUGGAGUCCCCCCCUUUGAGCUAGUUAAACGGGCUAAUUUUGCCGUUGAAGCUCUCCCCAGUGGGAGUUAUGAGAAGGCAAGGCUUCAAUUUGCUGUUGAGACUGUGGUUCCAUUCUCAUGUCUUUUUGGUCCCUUUCUUCAAGGAUCUGGAAAAACCAUUGGAGCUCCCUCCUAUGAAAUUGAAGAAGAUGCUUCAUGAAUUACUUUACGAGAAAUUGGAGCAGCAACAAAAAGAAAUGAUAAUGCGGUCCAAAGAAUUGCCAAAAAUAUUGUUUGGCGGACAAAAUGAUUUAGUUUUAACUUUUAGUUGUUUUGUUUCUUAGUUUAACUAGUGAUAAUUUAAUUUUGUAAUUUUCCUUAUAGGUAACA